GUGUGUGUUUGUAUAUGUGGAAGGGAUCUCAGAAGGGGUUGCUGAUGGAAGUCCAGCAUGCUUAACUCAGAGAACCCUCCUUAUUUGUCUGGUCACAUUCAAUGAGUCCUAAAGAAGGCUCAACAGGCCUGUUUCUCAGAGUGACUAGCUGCUCUUUGCCUUGCCCAGAGACUCCAUUGUGAAUUACCAUUUGGAGGUCGUCCCUUCCCACCUGGAAUGAAUCAAAGACAACAGGGACCAACAGGAAAAAGUUUGAGCUUUGCCAGGUUAAUACUUGGUGCCAAACAAGGUGACUAAUGUUUGUUUUGUUAUGUGUGUUUUGCUGGGGUGGAAAAUGUUAAUUUUAUCCCCGCUGCAGCCUGCUGGGCAGCAUCUUGCAAAUUAAGAAUCUUGCAUAUGGUUCCAUAAAACAGGAAGAGGUGAUUUUCUCUUGUAAAGUGGCUUGAAGGGCCCGGUGUCGUGGCUCACGCCUGUAAUCCCAGCUCUUUAGGAGACUGAGGCUGGCAGAUCACUUGAGGUCAGUAGUUGGAGACCAGCCUGGUCAACAUGGUGAAACCCCAUCUCUACUAAAAAUACAAAUAUUAUCCAGGCGUGGUGGUGGACACCUGUAAUCCCAGCUACUCGGGAGGCUGAGGCAACAGAAUUGCUCUAACCCAGAAGGCAGAGGUUGCAGUGCGCUGAGAUUGCGCCAACAUACUCCAGCCUGGGUGACAGAGCGAGACUACAUCUCAAAAAAAAAAAAAAAAUGUGACUUGACCCCCACAGCUAUGGUGCAGUGAGCAGGGUCAUCAGAAGCCACUCCAUUCUUCAGGAAGCUGCAGUGAAAGGGAUCCCAGAAACCUGGUAUGCUGGCAAAAAAACGGAUAAGAAAUUCUUACCAGCCAAGUUUCUGGUCCCCCUCUCUCUGUCUUUCUCUGUCUGGGUAAACGGUAAAUGUCACUUCUUGUCUCUCUGCAAGGGUUUGAUUAACAGAAAAAGGAUUUGUGAGACUAGUCUUAGGUGGUAGCAAAUCUGGUGUACUUUGUGCUAAGAAUUUGCUUUUCUGUUUUCUGUAAUGGAGAAAGGAGUAUUACAGGAUAGAAUGUGGGUUUAAGACCCCUGCAAGCUUGCAGCAGGCUGGUCAGUUACAAACUUUGCUACAGGUCUCUGAAACCAAUAAAUACUGUAUGAAAUUUCUCUGUCUUGUUUUGUGUCCUUAAGAGCUUAACCUUGUGACCAUGUGGGGAUACUUCCUCUUGGUUUCCACCAUCCAGAGGACAGGAAUUUUGAGGUUCAUGUCAUAGACCUAAAAAUUAUCUUAAGCAGUUAAAAGCCACUGCAAGCUUGAAACUGGCUUCUCUGGGUUCCUUCUGGGAAGAGCAAUAGAAACUGCUCACUGCUCUCCAACUCAGUAGCUACGGCUUUGUUUUUUGACAAUGACAGCCUGGGUUCUAUUCUUGGCUUCUGGAAUGACUCCUUUCUGGUUUUAUAUUUAUGUAACUUUGCCAUUUAUUAAGGUUUUUCCCCCUAUUAGCUUCUGAUUUGCAGUCUUAAAUUUACCUUUCUCUAAACUACCCUGAAGGAGAUUCUAAAUCUUGUUAAAAAAAAAAAAAAAAGAAAGAAAAAAA
rnacentral:lncRNA from 1 species